rnacentral:rRNA from 1 species
UACAGGGGGUGCAAACGUUGCUCGGAAUCAUUGGGCGUAAAGCGCACGUAGGCGGUUCGUUAUGUCGGAUGUGAAAGCCCUUGGCUUAACCGAGGAAGUGCAUCCGAAACUGGCGAGCUAGAGUACUAAAGAGGAUCGCGGAAUUCCCGGUGUAGAGGUGAAAUUCGUAGAUAUCGGGAGGAACACCGGUGGCGAAGGCGGUUCUCUGGGCAUUACCUGACGCUGAGGAGCGAAAGCAUGGGGAGCGAACAGG